rnacentral:misc_RNA from 1 species
UCUCCGUUGGUGAACCAGCGGAGGGAUCAUUACCGAGUUUUUCUACUCCCAAACCCCUGUGAACUUAUACCUUUACUGUUGCUUCGGCGGGUUAACGCCCCGGAAGGCCCGCGAGGGCCGCCGGAACCAGGCGCCCGCCGGGGGACCCAAACUCUUGUAUCUUUUUUAUAGCAUGUCUGAGUGGAAUCAUAAACAAAUGAAUCAAAACUUUCAACAACGGAUCUCUUGGUUCUG